CCUCUGUGGCUCCAUAUUGAGUGAGCCACUACCUCACCCUGCACCAUCCUAGACCUGGCAGAAAUAGCCUAACUUCCAUCCUGCACAGCAGUGCCAUUGAGCUUGAUGAGUCAGAGUCAACCCUGCAUGUUUAGCACAGAGGCACACCGCUGUGAAUGCUGAACUUCAUCUUGGGGUGACUUCACCUCUUGACAUAGAAGAGGAGGGGGAAGGUUCUGGGAGAUUAGGUCCAUUCUGUAUUCAGAAGAAUGGAAAUGAGUCCUCACUGAUGACUGUGAGGCACAUCCUACUCCAAAUUCUUUUGAAGAUCGUCUUCUUUGUGCCUCAUAAUCCACCUGUUGUCUUCAUUUUAUAGGUGCCAGGCAUUGUGUAGAUGCUGGGAAUGAACAAGAC